rnacentral:rRNA from 1 species
UACGAGGGGGGCGAGCGUUGUUCGGAAUUAUUGGGCGUAAAGGGUGCGUAGGCGGUUUGGUAAGUCUCGUGUGAAAUCUCCGGGCUCAACUCGGAGCCUGCACGAGAAACUGCCGGGCUUGAGUGUGGGAGAGGUGAGUGGAAUUCCUGGUGUAGCGGUGAAAUGCGCAGAUAUCAGGAGGAACACCAAUGGCGAAGGCAGCUCGCUGGGACGGUACUGACGCUGAGACGCGAAAGCGUGGGGAGCAAACAGG